GAUGCUUUAGUGCCUUCGGGAACUCUGAGACAGGUGCUGCAUGGCUGUCGUCAGCUCGUGUUGUGAAAUGUUGGGUUAAGUCCCGNAACGAGCGCAACCCUUAUCCUUUGUUGCCAGCACGUAAUGGUGGGAAACUCAAAGGAGACUGCCGGUGAUAAACCGGAGGAAGGUGGGGAUGACGUCAAGUCAUCAUGGCCCUUACGAGUAGGGCUACACACGUGCUACAAUGGCGCAUACAAAGAGAAGCGACCUCGCGAGAGCAAGCGGACCUCAUAAAGUGCGUCGUAGUCCGGAUUGGAGUCUGCAACUCGACUCCAUGAAGUCGGAAUUGCUAGUAAUCGUAAAUCAGAAUGUUACGGUGAAUACGUUCCCGGGCCUUGUACACACCGCCCGUCACACCAUGGGAGUGGGUUGCAAAAGAAGUAGAUAGCUUAACCUUCGGGAGGGCGUUUACCACUUUGUGAUUCAUGACUGGGGUGAAGUCGUAACAAGGUAGGCGUAGUGCU
rnacentral:rRNA from 1 species